rnacentral:rRNA from 1 species
CAGCCGCGGUAAUACGGGGGGCGCAAGCGUUGCUCGGAAUCACUGGGCGUAAAGCGUACGUAGGCGGUUCAACAAGUCGGCUGUGAAAGUCCGGGGCUCAACCCCGGAAUUGCAGUCGAUACUGUUGUGACUUGAGUCCGGUAGAGGAGAAUGGAAUUCCCGGUGUAGCGGUGGAAUGCGCAGAUAUCGGGAGGAACACCAGUAGCGAAGGCGGUUCUCUGGGCCGGCACUGACGCUGAGGAGCGAAAGCGUGGGGAGCAAA